GGGGCUGUACCGGUUUCGACGGGGGAUUGAUUGGCGAGAGAAGCGAGCCAGGGUACCUGCGCCUGUAAACGCGGAAAAGCAAUUUAUUUGCCAAACAAGAUUACGCUUUAGCUGCUUAAUUGCAGUCUAACCCUGACCAGACUUCGCCCAUAGGGUCUGCAAUGGGUCAUCAAUAUGGGCUGUCCUUGCUAUCUGUGUCCUGAUUUAGUAAGGGAGAUUUAAGGGGCUAGCUACUAUACAGGCCGUAUGUGGCCGGUAUGGCAGCGAAAAUAAAUCGCAUACUGCGCUCGGAGAUGCUCUUGUGGGUCAUCUUUCGGACGGGGGUUCAACUCCCCCCAGCUCCACCA
rnacentral:tmRNA from 1 species